AUAUAUAUAUAUAUUACCUAUAUUAUGAAAUCAUGACAGGUAUUUAAUCUAAAAAGCAAUAUUAAAUAGACAAAAGUUUUUCGAAAUUCUAUAUUGAAAAAAAUGUUUUAAAAUUUUCGGUAAAAGGGUUUUAUUUUUAUGGAUUUUAGAAUUGUUAUCUCUUUUUAUGAAAUUUUAGAUAGGUAAUUAUGUAUUUCUUAUAUUUUUGAAUGUUCCAUCUGCAAUUAAAUGAAAAUGCUUCUAGUAUUUUAAAUAUAAUAAAGAAAGACAUUGGCUAAGAUUUUAACUCCUUGAUCGUUGUAAGCGAUGUCAGAUUAACCUCGUAAGGGCCACUUGCACCAUUCACUAACCCGGGGUUUAGCGGUUAAACCUGAAGUUACUACGGUUACCAAUACAAUUUGACACUGGGUUAACGGUUUAACCGCUUAACCCCGGGUUGGUGGGAUGGUGCAAGUCGGUGUAAGUCUAAGAGUUGAUUUAGACGGCGUGCGAACUCGCAUGCGAUUUUAGUUAAAUUGCGUACUGUUGGUUACGUCCAAUCCAACCGACCGAUCAAAACCCGCAAUGUAAUGAAACCCGCAUGCGUGUUCUCGCAUCGUCUAAAUGCGCCCUAAAUGUACAUUUAAAUGUUCAUAUUCGUUGCAAUCUAAUUUGAACUUUUCAUGGCGCAGAUAAUAGUUAUUUGUUUUACAAGGGGGAAAAGUUGUUGUUUAACCGCUCGUGCUAAUAUUGAUACUCGAGCAAGCGAAAGAUUCCAAAAUUGAACCACGAGCGUAGCGAGUGGUUCGAAAAUGGAAUCUUGAGCGUUGCGAGUGGUUCGAAAAUGGAAUCUUGAGCGUUGCGAGGGUUUCAAAGCACGAGGGUUAAACAAAAUUUGCCCCCGAGUGAAACACAAAAUUUUUCACCACACCAACCCAAAGCAAAUAUUAAAUGUAAAAUAUCAAACAAAUACAAACCAAAUCAAAUCCAAAUGAAUGUUAUUAAAUAUUUAUUAUCCAAAGUCAUAAUUUAAAAGUCAAUUCUACCGGCAAACAUAAGACAACAACUCAAAAUUUGCAUUUUUUAACUUUGCCUCACAUGUGGAUAAAAUACAACUUUGCUAUCAGUUUUUGAAGUGCAAAGUAAGCCGUUCCGAGCUGGUGUGGUGAAAAGUAGCUUUUCUAUUGUUUUCCAUUGAGUUUUAAAACAAACGAAAUUGGUUCCAAUUCACUUAUAGAACAAGGUUCAAAUUAAAAAUGGGAAAACUUUGUAUCGUGGGUCUUGCGAGGUUAAAAUAGUCUUUUUAACUGCCAUUUUAGUUUUAAGAGUUGCAAAUCGAAAUAAUUGUUGAACUAUACAGGGUGGAAUAUCCAAAUUAAUUUGUGUGAAAAUAAUCUGAAGUUAAUUUAACUUUUUUACGAACGUGUCUUGUUAUUCCAGUCAGUCUCGGUACAAAAAGUACUGACGUUGACUGAAGUAGCCUGACGAAUACGAACAUUUUCGAGAAAAUACGAUGGAAACAAUUAUGCACUACAUCUGUAUGCAAUAAAAAUAAGACAUUCUAGAGGUCUUGAGCCAUUCCGCAACGGAUCACCUGGUUAAAAUUUAACUUACCUUUUUCUUUAGAAGUUCGAGCAUAAAGUACCUACUUACAGUUAUAGGUACCAAGAUAAUUCUGCAAAAAUUUGACAGCAUCAUUUAUGCGCCACAUUUUUUUUAUAGAAGUUUGACGUUUAAAAUAACACUUGCACAGUGGGCUAUCAAAUCGCUGCAGAUUAAUCUUGUUCUAACUCUAUAUCCUCAAGAUUGAUCAAUAAUUGACCCAUUUGGAUUACCCACCCUGUAUUCAAAUAUACCUCUAUAUGGUAUCGAUUUGGAAAUAAGUUUUAUUGGCGAAUUAGCCUAAUUUCGUUUAAAUAACUUAAUAGUUUUGCUCAUAUCAAGUGGAGAUUUCCAUAUUAAUAAAAAUGUAGGUCAAAGAGCAAUGAACUUGAAUGAUUAAGUAAUUAACUAAUUAGUUAAUUGAUUUGUUAAUUAAAGUGCCAUAUGAUCCAGUGGUUUUAAUAAAAUAUGUUUUUAAUUUUA